ensembl:lncRNA
UCUCUCUGUCUCUCUCUCUGUCUCUCUCUCUCUCUCUCUCUCUCUCUCUCUCUCUCCCACAGUCUGUCAAAGGUGUGGUGUCAUUAACAAACAACGUAUUCACAGUACACAUCUCUCUCCAUUCUCUCCCUUUAUCCUCCCUCUGUAUCCAUCUGUCUCUGAGCCCUCCCUUCCUCCCCUCCUCCUCCUCCUUUUCCACCUAUCGUUCUCUCUCUACUACCCUGGUUUCAUUCAGUGUUAAAUUAAGGAUGCCUCAAGUGUUUUCUCUCUCUCAUUAUUUCGUGCAGUGAUAGGUUGAUGGAUUGAUAGGUUGAUGGAUUGAUAGGUUGAUGGAUGGGUAGGUGGAUGGAUUGAUAGGUUGAUGGAUUGAUAGCUUGAUGGAUUUAUAGGUUGAUGGAUUGAUAGGUGGAUGGAUUGAUAGCUUGAUGGAUUUAUAGGUGGAUGGAUUGAUAGGUGGAUGGAUUGAUAGGUCUCAGUGAGAUUGCUGAUGGGUGGUUGCUGAUGACCCUUGCAAAUGCAUACCCAGAUCAGAACACAAGCCCUCUCUCUCUCCCCCUCCCUCCCU